AGCUUUUCACAGUGGCAGUAUCAUAGCCAAUGAGGUUUAUCCGAGGCGCGAUUAUUGCUAAUUGAAAAGAAAUUUGGAGUGCAAUUGCUAUUCUGUACAAGAUUCAUCUUAAAGACAACUUUUUUUCUAGAAGUUGAGUCCCUUUAUCAUAGCUUUGUAAAAAG
rnacentral:snRNA from 1 species